rnacentral:rRNA from 1 species
CCGUUACCCGGGUUGCGGACAGUGUCUGGUGGGUAGUUUGACUGGGGCGGUCUCCUCCUAAAGAGUAACGGAGGAGCACGAAGGUUGGCUAAUCCUGGUCGGACAUCAGGAGGUUAGUGCAAUGGCAUAAGCCAGCUUGACUGCGAGCGUGACGGCGCGAGCAGGUGCGAAAGCAGGUCAUAGUGAUCCGGUGGUUCUGAAUGGAAGGGCCAUCGCUCAACGGAUAAAAGGUACUCCGGGGAUAACAGGCUGAUACCGCCCAAGAGUUCAUAUCGACGGCGGUGUUUGGCACCUCGAUGUCGGCUCAUCACAUCCUGGGGCUGAAGUAGGUCCCAAGGGUAUGGCUGUUCGCCAUUUAAAGUGGUACGCGAGCUGGGUUUAGAACGUCGUGAGACAGUUCGGUCCCUAUCUGCCGUGGGCGCUGGAGAACUGAGGGGGGCUGCUCCUAGUACGAGAGGACCGGAGUGGACGCAUCACUGGUGUUCGGGUUGUCAUGCCAAUGGCACUGCCCGGUAGCUAAAUGCGGAAGAGAUAAGUGCUGAAAGCAUCUAAGCACGAAACUUGCCCCGAGAUGAGUUCUCCCUGAGACUUUAGGUCUCCUGAAGGAACGUUGAAGACGACGACGUUGAUAGGCCGGGUGUGUAAGCGCAGCGAUGCGUUGAGCUAACCGGUACUAAUGAACCGUGAGGCUUAACCUUACAACGCCGAAG